ACGGAGGAUGCAAGCGUUAUCCGGAUUCAUUGGGUUUAAAGGGUGCGUAGGCGGACUAUUAAGUCAGUGGUGAAAUCCUGCAGCUUAACUGCAGAACUGCCAUUGAUACUGAUAGCCUUGAGUUUGGUAAAGGUAGGCGGAAUGUGUGAUGUAGCGGUGAAAUGCGUAGAGAUCUGGAGGAAUACCGAUGGCGAAGGCGGCCCCCUGAACCGACACUGACGCUCAGGUGCGAAAGCGUGGGGAGCAAACAG
rnacentral:rRNA from 1 species